GGGUCUGUAGCUCAACUUGGGAGAGCGCCCGCCCCGCAAGCGGGAGGUUGCCGGUUCGAGUCCGGUCCGAUCCA
rnacentral:tRNA from 1 species